UAGGGAAUCUUCCGCAAUGGGCGAAAGCCUGACGGAGCAACGCCGCGUGAGUGAUGAAGGUCUUCGGAUCGUAAAACUCUGUUAUUAGGGAAGAACAAAUGUGUAAGUAACUAUGCACGUCUUGACGGUACCUAAUCAGAAAGCCACGGCUAACUACGUGCCAGCAGCCGCGGUAAUACGUAGGUGGCAAGCGUUAUCCGGAAUUAUUGGGCGUAAAGAGGGCGUAGGCGGUUUUUUAAGUCUGAUGUGAAAGCCCACGGCUCAACCGUGGGGGGUCAUUGGAAACUGGAAAACUUGAGUGCAGAAGAGGAAAGUGGAAUUCCUUGUGUAGCGGUGAAAUGCGCAGAGAUAUGGAGGAACACCAGUGGCGAAGGAGACUUUCUGGUCUGUAACUGACGCUGAUGUGCGAAAGCGUGGGGAUCAAACAGG
rnacentral:rRNA from 1 species